rnacentral:lncRNA from 1 species
CCAUGGCUCAGCGGUAACAAACCCGACUUGAUCCGUGAGGAUAUGGGUUCGAUCCCCGGCCUCGAUCAGUGGGUUAGGGAUCGGAUGUUGCCAUGAGCUGUGGUGUAGGUCACAGACUCGGCUCAGACCCUGUGUUGCUGUGGCUGUGGCGUAGGCUGGCAGCAGUAGCUCCAAUUCAACCCCGAGCCUGGGAACUUCCAUAUGCCAUCCGUGGGGCCCUUAAAAAAAAUAAAUAAAAAGAAUAGGAGAUGAGGAGAUGAGGGGGUGGGAGGCAGGCCCCGGUGUGCAGUAGACCCUGAAGUGGAGAAUCGGCAGGUGGGUACCACUCAGCAUCCACACUGGAGCUUCAGGCAACAGCAAGUUGCCACGGCAACAGCCAGACUGGAUCCUCUGCCAUUGUGUUCCAUUCCCACCCUUCCCUCUGGACCACGGCGUGUGGAAAGAGGCAAAGCCUGGAUCUGAAAGCAUUUGAGCCAUGGGGCUGCGUCAUAGCCACAGGAUGAAACAGAAGAUCUAGCGACCAAUCUGACUGGCCCGGUGGGACCAGUACCAUGGUCUCAGGAGGCAGAGAUGACAAGUGGAAGGAGACAGCUGUGGCUUUGUCCUGGGUCUGCCUUUCACCCACAUUCCUGCUCGGCUCACAGAAAUAUUAUCAUGCUGGAAAGAAAAAAAUGCCUUCUGCAGCGCAAGGAGCUAUGUAGCCUUUGUUUAUUCCGUUCCAUGGAGGGAGCAGGGGGCACUCCACAUUCUGCCUAAAAAUAUCCGCAGUGUGCUUCAAAAUAUUUGUCACCCAUGCAGAGAAUUCUGCAGAUCCUCACUGCAGAGCCUUGGAAAGGAGGACACAGAAAGGUGGGCGGAGAAGGACUUCCUCUCACCUGCGUCUCCCCACAGCAAUUCCAGAGAGCAGAUGUCUUGAUCUUCUGGGCCAAGCUCUGGGCUUUCCAUGUGUUUGCAUGGCUUUUGCUGUGUUUUGCUUACUGUGCUAAAUGCAAACUUGAAAGAGACACAUCCCUUCCCCCAUGAACCCGAGAUUCGUCUUGCAUACUGGACCCAGGGACAGUUCUGACCCUGCGGUCUCCAUUCAAUGAGCCAAAGUGUCCCAGGUAUCAUUCUGUCAACAUCUGCCGUCUAGUCUCUGUUGAGCAGUUCCUCAUCCAGGUCCAGUGGGGCACCCCUGGUGCCAUGCACUCCCAAUCCUUUGCUUAAGUCACAGAAGCUCAGUUUGUGGUGGGUUAAAACACUUGUUUCUGUGAGUGUAAAUGCUUUUUAUUGAUACUUAGGUGCCUUUUCCAGGGACCCUCUGGGUACUGGGGUGGAGACCAGGUUCCAGGCAUCCUGAGAGCUGCGGGUCUUCAGACUUGAGGGUACAGAGGCUGGUGUCACUCAAACUUGCUUGUCCCUGACACUCACAGACAGCAAGGCACUGGUUUUCCUUUCCUUCUUUCUUUCUUGCUUUCUGUAGGGCUGCAACUGUGGCAUAUGGAAUUUCCCAGGCUAGGGGUUGAAUCAGAGCUGUAGCUUCCGCCUAUACUACGGCCACGGCAACACCGAUCAGGGCCGCAUCUGCAACCUAGCCUGCACCUUGCAGCAGCACUGGAUCCUUAACCCACUGGAUGAGACCAGGGAUCGAACCCGCAUCCUCACGGAUACUAUAUCGGUUCUUAACCUGCUGAGCCACAACAGGAACUCUGAAACAUUAAGUUUGCCAAAAUCUGGCAUUGACUGAACCAGGGAACUUUAGAUCUUCCAACUGAGCUAUUUUGGCCCCCACUCUCUUUUUUUCCUUUUAACACGUACAAAUGCAAUUGCUGUCAAAUCCCUAAAAGCGGCAUUUCCUCAACUUCUCUUACGUGUGAUGAGCCAUCCCUCGGCUCUCUUGGGAUGUUACCUCUGUUUUUAUUUCUUUUUCUUGUUAAUUGUAAACAUUAGCAGAAACCAAAGGACUGGUUCCUUCUCCCAGCAAUUCUGAUUGAGGACAUAUUUCUCCUGUACUAAAAUAAAAUUAAACUCUCUUCCUGGAGUUCCCGUCGUGGCGCAGUGGUUAACGAAUCCGACUAGGAACCAUGAGGUUGCGGGUUCGGUCCCUGCCCUUGCUCAGUGGGUUAACGAUCUGGCGUUGCCGUGAGCUGUGGUGUAGGUUGCAGACUCGGCUCGGAUCCCACGUUGCUGUGGCUCUGGCGUAGGCCAGUGGCUACAGCUCCGAUUCAACCCCUAGCCUGGGAACCUCCAUAUGCCGCGGGAGCAGCCCAAAGAAAUUAGCAAAAAGACAAAAAAAAAAAAAAAAAAAAAAAAAACUCUCUUCCUAAAGAGUCAGCUGGUUUGAGAACUCAGGACCCUCUCAUGCUGCCUGGUCUGUUUUGUUUCGUUUUGUUUUUUUCCUUUUUAGGGCUACACCUGUGUCAUAUGGAGAUUUCCCAGGCUAGGGGUCAAAUCAGAGCUACAGCUGCCGGCCUCCACCACAGCCACAGCAACCCAGGAUCCAAGCUGCAUCUGCGACCUUCACCACAGCUCACGGCAACCCAGAUCCCCAACCCACUGGGGAAAGCCAGGGAUCAAACCCAAGUCCUCGUGGAUCUUUGUAGGGUUCGUUAACCACUGAGCCACGAAGGGGACUUUGAACAGUCUAUUCAUUAAUGACCCAACUCUUAGACCACACCUCCCUGUGGUUCCCCCAGCUUAUGGCUUUUGACCUUAACUCUACAAUUAAUCCUUUCAGUACCCCAGGAAGUAAAAUGGGAAUUGUCCCUUCUUCAGUGGGUAUGUAGAAGACAGGUAUGAGACGCGACCUGUGUCACGAUCCUCAGAACAAAGAGUCUGUGGACGUGAAAGCGCCACUGUGGUUAUUAGAACAAAUAAUAAGAGAAGUUGGCAUCACACGCAUGCAGUUACACAGCCCUGCUCCCACCUCUGCUAGUCCUUUAACUUCACAUGUGACAUUUUGUGGCACAGUCUUUCUGAGUAGCAACCAAAAACCCACUUAGGUAGAAAGAGCCCUGUAGGAUCUCACGGGAGUCCUGGCCUUGCCGUUAAUGUGUGGGAACUCAGCCAAAUCAACUGAUCUUAUUGGCAACUGUAGGAUCCACAAUCCAGAGCCAUAAAUAAGGGACUUAUUCGUGGUCUGGAUGGCUGGGGGAAAAAAGAGAGAGAGGAGAGAAAAUUUUACCUGUAGAGAAAUGCCACCCUAUUAUAGGUGUUUUAUUGAGAAAUGUCAUCUUUUGAAACAUAGCUUCUAUAAUAUUAGUUCACUGUCAACUGGUUACUUUUUUUUAUGCUAUUAAUAAAAUCAGCAUUAAGUAACUGUAAGUGUAUUUACAGUUGCUUCUGAAAACCCAUCAAAGGAACGUAAGUGGAAGGAGAUUAUUUUUUCUACUUGAAGAGACCAUUAAGAGUCUAAAAUAAAAUUUUGAAAACAUCUGUCUUACUUGAAACAUUCAUAAUUUUCUAGCAAAUAAAGGUCACGCAUAUAGCAGUUAAGAACAUGGGCUUCAAAGCUAGAGUGUCUGGGUUCCAAGCCUGGCUAUGCUGCCCUGGGUGACCUUGGAGGAGCUGCUUAGUGUCGGUUUUCUCAUCUGUAAAAUGGGUAUGACAAUAAUAAGUAACUCACAAGGUAGUUGAGAGGCUUGUAUAACUAUCAUUGUUUCCUGAACACGUCUUAUUAAUUGAAUACUUUCUAUUUCUAAGCCCUUAAUUUCCAGAACCACCCCGAGAGGGUUGUCCAUAUACGUCAAUUAGGCGAUGCAUGCAAAGCCCUUCAGACUGUGCGCAGCCAUUCUCAGGCUCAAUCAAGGCUACCUAGUGCUUUAUGUCCCCAAAGAGGGUGCCAAGUGAAAUCAGCAUGCCGUUGGAACGAAAUAAAUAAUUUAACAGGAGGAAGGAUGUUUCAAUGGGAGGCAAUCACCAUGAAUCUCACUUCUGAAGUGAGUUCAUUUGAAUUUGUCAACAAGCUCCUGCUAAAUGAAAUCGGCUGGAGAGCUAUAACUUAAGGCUAAAAUUAAAGGGUGAAUUAAAAACAGUGCCAGCGGGUUAGGUGGUGGGGACGGGCCUCGCAGAGUGCCAGGCCUGCUCUUUUUGGGCUUCCUGUUUCCCUUAAUCUGACCCAACAGUGCCAUUGAUUUAAUGGUGGAAAAGCAGGGACUAGGGGUUUGUAGUGUGUCAAGCAGGCUGAAUAAAAAGCAAAAUGAUGAAGGAAGAUUAAACACGCUGCAGCAGUGCUUUUCACACUUUUAAAUUUCAGGAUUGCUCUAUAUUCUGGAAAACUUAUUGAAAAUCUCAAAGAGGGCUUUUGUGUAUGUGGGUUGUUUCUACCUUAUUGGAUGUUAAAAAAGUUACAUUACUUAACAAUCAUAAAGCAUGUCUUGAUCACAUGAAUGAUAAUUUUAAAAUAAAAAACAG